rnacentral:lncRNA from 1 species
CGACUGCAACGUGCAGAGCUUUCUGUGACACGCUGUUUAUGUCUUUCAGAGGGUCUGUCUGUCUCGUACGUCGCACCAGCUUCCUGAUCCCCGUCUCUGUCUAAGCUCAGUGAAGGAGGAAAUCCCUCAAGGGUGUUUUCAGCAACUAUGUGAGGAAGAGCAGGAAACCGGGCCAUGCCGACCCCUUCACCCACAUUUCCAGCACCAGCAGGACACUCCCCUUCCAGCUAGGAUGGAAAUGGAAAUGUUUCAUCAUCAGCAGAGCACGAACAUUAGAGACAGAGGGCUGGGCUUGUUUCUUCACCCACUCAGCCCAUGAGCUUCAGAAGGGACACUUCACAGACUGGACUGGGGCUUUGAGCUGCUCCCCUUCUCGCUGUCCACCAUGAUCGCCUACCUGCUCUUCACUUUUCUGAUACUAGGUAUGUAUCUAACCUCACACACACACACACACACACAUUAACUCUUCAUUCUAUGUGGGUGUUAAUAAGGCUUUACUCCUGGUAUUUCCUGUUUUUUUCUUCCAUGUUUCCAUGAGCGUCCAUUGUUUUCACUGUGCGUGGGACUGAUGGGGGGAAAAGGCAGAAAACAUUUUAGUUUGAACAGAAGAAAAACAAAAUGCUGCUUUUAAAUCUUUUGAAAUGUGCUGAAGUUGUUCAUUAAUCAUAAGGAGUCCACAGGUGUUGGUGAAUCACAAACCAACAUUGAGCAAAGUUGACAGGAACCAAAACAUUGACUGGUUUUUCUCACUUAGUGUUAGACCUGAAUCUCAAGAUUAUUUUACCUUCACAUGCAACGUUACUGUUACUUUAAAUAAUGAAUCACUUGGUGCAAAAAAUGUUAUUUACUGUAGAAAUGUCCAUGUCCCUGAAGCAAAGUGAGUCUUCAAACUGCAUCUUCUCUUCAGCCAACGCUCUAAAAACUAAAAGUUCAAUAUUGUACCUGGUUCCCAAAUAGUAAAACAUGUGAAUUGUUCAACUUCGCUGCAGAUCUGAUUCUGAGUCUUUCUCUGUUGCUUUCUGUUUGGUUUAGUUUCUUUAUCACUCUGGCACUGGCGUCGUCAAAGGGAAACAAAAUUUGACACAUGCAAUAGUGUGAUAACAUGGUACAACCACACAAUCCAGCGCUGAUGAAACAACUGCAACACACAGUAUUUGUGUAUUAUGUUAGUGCUGAUGAACAGAUUAAUUUGUCAAAUGGUUAAAUAUUGUCAACCCUUCAGCUCAGGAGUGUCAGUGCUUUGGACUUUAUAGUCUUUAUUGGUUCCCAGUUUCUCUGACUUAAGGUCCAAAAUCCAAAUAUUCAUUUACAAUCAUGGACAAAAACAGCAAAUCCUAACAUAGAAACCUGAACAUGGAAUUAUGUUUUUCAAUAGUUUUGUCUUAAAAAGUGAGUCUUCCUUAUAAUCCACUGAAGAAUUUGAUGGAACAGUUUUCUGCCAGCAGGUCCACUGAAGGCUGAGACGUCCGGUCUGAAGUCAAGAAAAACUAAUCAAACACUGAAUCUGAAACACAGUAUGUCAGUCAUUUUACACAGAAACAUCCUUUGAAUCAAAUAUAUUAACAAUAAAAACCUGGAUAUGUGAGCUUUUAUAAAUGUGUGGCUGAAAGUUCAUUUACGUAGGAAAAAACUUUUUUUUUUUUCUUCCAGAGGAAUUUCAGGACCAGGAAACCGCUUUCUCGGGACAACACUGUAAGCCGGCCCACCUGGUAAACUUGAGUCACGUCUACUGUGGUG